rnacentral:rRNA from 1 species
GAUGAACGCUGGCGGCGUGCCUAAUACAUGCAAGUCGAGCGAACAGACUAGUAUCUUGCUCCUCUGACGUUAGCGGCGGACGUGUGAGUAACACGUGGAUAACCUACCUAUAAUACUUGUAUAACUUCGUGAAACCGUAGCUAAUACCGUAUAAUAUAUUUAACCUCAUGUUUCAAUAGUUAAUGACGUUUUUUCUGUCACUUAUAGAUGGAUCCGCGCCGCAUUAGCUAGUUGGUAAGGUAACGGCUUACCAAGGCAACGAUGCGUAGCCGAAGUGAGAGGGUGAGAGGCCAAACUGGAACUGAGACACGGUCCAGAAUACUACGGGAGGCAGCAGAAGGGAAUAUGACGAAAAGGGCGAAAGCAGGACGGAGAAAAGCCGAGUGAGUGAUGAAGGACUUAGGAUCGUAAAACUCUGUUAUUAGGGAAGAAAAAAUGUGUAAGUAAAUAUGCACGUCUUGACGGUACCAAAUCAGAAAGCAACGGCUAACUACGUG